UUCUGUGUCGUUGGGUUUAGG
rnacentral:miRNA from 1 species